rnacentral:rRNA from 1 species
AUUGAACGCUGGCGGCAGGCCUAACACAUGCAAGUCGAACGCGUGGCGGACGGGUGAGUAAUGUCUGGGAAACUGCCCGCUGGAGGGGGAUAACUACUGGAAACGGUAGCUAAUACCGCAUACCAUCGGAUGUGCCCUGAUGGGAUUAGCUAGUAGGUGGGGUAACGGCUCUCCUCGGCGACGAUCCCUCGCUGGUCUGAGAGGAUGACCAGCCACACUGGAACUGAGACACGGUCCAGACUCCUACGGGGGGCAGCAGUGGGGAAUAUUGCACAAUGGGCGAAAGCCGGAUGCAGCAAUGCCGGGUGUAUGAAGAAGGCCUUCGGGUUGGAAAGUACUUUCAGCGAGGAGACGUUACUCGCAGAAGAAGCACCGGCGAACUCCGUGCCAGCAGCCGCGGUAAAC